rnacentral:rRNA from 1 species
GUAGGGAAUAUUGCACAAUGGAGGAAACUCUGAUGCAGCGACGCCGCGUGAGUGAUGAAGGCCUUCGGGUCGUAAAGCUCUGUCGCAGGGGAAUAACACAAUGAAGGUACCCUGUAAGAAAGGAUCGGCUAACUUCGUGCCAGCAGCCGCGGUAAGACGAGGGAUCCUAGCGUUGUUCGGAAUCAUUGGGCGUAAAGCGGAUGUAGGUGGCUAUGUAAGUCAGGUGUGAAAGCCUGGGGCUCAACCCCAGAAGUGCAUUUGAUACUGCGUAGCUUGAGUGUCGGAGAGGUUACUAGAAUUGUUGGUGUAGUGGUGAAAUACGUAGAUAUCAACAGGAAUACCGGAGGCGAAGGCGGGUAACUGGCCGAACACUGACACUGAGAUCCGAAAGCGUGGGGAUCAAACAGGAUUAGAUACCCCUGUAGUCC